CCCAGGAUGAGAGAGAUAAGCACUUGCUAAGAGCCUUCCUGGUGCUGAGCCUUCUAUGUGUGCUCCAAGCCCCACGUACUGAAGGUUGGAUUCCUAGCCUGUAGCUCUCAGAGACGUAGAGGAGCUUUUAGAAGCUGGUGUCUGAUGGAAAGGAGACACAUCCCAUGUCUACCUUGAAGACAGAACCUCAAGCCUAGUAUGGCAGAAGUUGCUGGGGAAAGACAUGUGAGUGAUCAGAGCACAGAGGGGAGAGACAACCACCGCCCUCCUCCACUACAGGACCCAUGUCUCCGACCUAUAUGUCUCAAGACUGUACAGUGUCUGAUGUAUGAAAGGUCUUGCCCUCUAGUUCCUUCUCAUCCCUCUGGCUUGGAAAUGGCAAUGGCUGUGUGUAGUUGUGGACACAUGUAUUGACGUAAACAGCCCAUCCGCUUGGUUCCUGGACAGCUUCUGAGGAGGGGAAGCAGCUUGCUAAGGCUUGUAGCAGAGACUUCAUGGUGGGAAAUACACACUGGUGAAUGAAUG